rnacentral:tRNA from 1 species
GCCCGAGUAGCUCAGUUGGUAGAGCAAGCGAUUGAAAAUCGCUGUGUCACUGGUUCGAUUCCGGUCUCGGGCACCA